rnacentral:piRNA from 1 species
UGAGCAGGUGCAAUGAAAGAUCCUAGA